rnacentral:rRNA from 1 species
AUUGAACGCUGGCGGCAGGCCUAACACAUGCAAGUCGAGCGAGCGGCGGACGGGUGAGUAACGUAUGGGGAUUUGCCCGAUAGAGGGGGAUAACUACUGGAAACGGUGGCUAAUACCGCAUAAUAUCCGAUGAACCGAUGUGGGAUGAGCUGGUAGGUGGGGUAAAGGCUCACCAAGGCGACGAUCUCUAGCGGGUCUGAGAGGAUGAUCAGCCACACUGGGACUGAGACACGGCCCAGACUCCUACGGGAGGCAGCAGUGGGGAAUAUUGCACAAUGGGCGCAAGCCUGAUGCAGCCAUGCCGCGUGUAUGAAGAAGGCCUUAGGGUUGUAAAGUACUUUUAGCAGGGAAGCGUUACCCGCAGAAUAAGCACCGGCUAACUCCGUGCCAGCAGCCGCGGUAAUAC